CCUACGGGAGGCAGCAGUAGGGAAUCUUCCACAAUGGGCGAAAGUCUGAUGGAGCAACGCCGCGUGGGUGAAGAAGGUCUUCGGAUCGUAAAACUCUGUUGUUAGAGAAGAAAGUGCGUGAGAGUAACUGUUCACGUCUCGACGGUAUCUAACCAGAAAGCCACGGCUAACUACGUGCCAGCAGCCGCGGUAAUACGUAGGUGGCAAGCGUUAUCCGGAUUUAUUGGGCGUAAAGGGAACGCAGGCGGUCUGUUAAGUCUGAUGUGAAAGCCUUCGGCUUAACCGGAGUAGUGCAUUGGAAACUGGGGGACGUGAGUGCAGAAGAGGAGAGUGGAACUCCAUGUGUAGCGGUGAAAUGCGUAGAUAUAUGGAAGAACACCAGUGGCGAAAGCGACUCUCUGGUCUGUAACUGACGCUGAGGUUCGAAAGCGUGGGUAGCAAACAGGAUUAGAUACCCGGGUAGUC
rnacentral:rRNA from 1 species